rnacentral:rRNA from 1 species
UGGGGAAUUUUGGACAAUGGGCGAAAGCCUGAUCCAGCAAUGCCGCGUGUGUGAAGAAGGCCUUCGGGUUGUAAAGCACUUUUGUCCGGAAAGAAAUCCUUGGCUCUAAUACAGUCGGGGGAUGACGGUACCGGAAGAAUAAGCACCGGCUAACUACGUGCCAGCAGCCGCGGUAAUACGUAGGGUGCAAGCGUUAAUCGGAAUUACUGGGCGUAAAGCGUGCGCAGGCGGUUUGCUAAGACCGAUGUGAAAUCCCCGGGCUCAACCUGGGAACUGCAUUGGUGACUGGCAGGCUAGAGUAUGGCAGAGGGGGGUAGAAUUCCACGUGUAGCAGUGAAAUGCGUAGAGAUGUGGAGGAAUACCGAUGGCGAAGGCAGCCCCCUGGGCCAAUACUGACGCUCAUGCACGAAAGCGUGGGGAGCAAACAGGAUUAGAUACCCUGGUAGUCCACGCCCUAAACGAUGUCAACUAGUUGUUGGGAUUCAUUUCCUUAGUAACGUAGCUAACGCGUGAAGUUGACCGCCUGGGGAGUACGGUCGCAAGAUUAAAACUUAAAUGGAAUUGACGGGGUCAUAGCUGUUUCCU